CCGAAGACAUCGAUCCUGAGAAUGAGGACGAAGGCAUGGAUGAGGAGAAGCCCCGAAACAGAGCAUGCCCACCAGUGAGACCGAGUCCGUCAACACCGAAAACGUGGCUGGAGGUGACAUCGAGGGAGAAAACUGCGGGGCCAGGCUGGCCACCGGAUCUCCAAGUCAAAGUUCAGCGCUACUGGCGCCGGUGGAAUCGGUUCUGCAGAAGGAAGUGCCGCGCCGCAGUCAAGUCUAAUGUCUUCUACUGGCUGGUGAUUUUC
rnacentral:lncRNA from 1 species